UACGUAGGGUCCGAGCGUUGUCCGGAAUUAUUGGGCGUAAAGGGCUCGUAGGCGGUCUGUUGCGUCGGGAGUGAAAACUUACAGCUUAACUGUGAGCGUGCUUCCGAUACGGGCAGACUUGAGGUAUUCAGGGGAGAACGGAAUUCCUGGUGUAGCGGUGAAAUGCGCAGAUAUCAGGAGGAACACCGGUGGCGAAGGCGGCUUUCUGGACAGUAACUGACGCUGAGGCGCGAAAGCCGGGGGAGCAAACAGG
rnacentral:rRNA from 1 species